rnacentral:lncRNA from 1 species
CAAGAUGGCAAUGGAUAGUCAAAAUGCGGAUAUCUAUGGAUAUCCAGUCCAUGGAUCGUGGAUAUGGAUCGGGUUUUCGAUCCAUGGAUAUCCACGCAUGGAUACCCGCCAAUUCGUGGAGCGGGUACGGAUAUCAUAUUUGAUCCAUGGAUAUCCAUGGAUACCUGGUGUUUAUUAAAAUAAAUAAAUUACCGAGAUGUGGAUCCACUGCUCGAUAGAUGUACUCUUCCGUAAAUAUAAAUAUAUAUAUAUAUAUAUAUAUAAAUAUAUAU